CAACCGAAUGCCAAAAAUACGGAGGAGGCAGUGCGGCAUGGAGGCGGAUCUGCCUUACGAAAUGGGCAGGGGCCCCACGCCAGGGGCAGGGGCUGUGGACGGAGCUGUGGACACAAUGUCAGGACCACGGUGGGCGAGGAGACGGGAAGGCGGGGGCCCUGUCCUGUGGGGUUCUGGAGCAGGCAAAGCAUGCCUGGGACAGAGACGGCCAGGCCAAUAUUAGCCCUGGGUGAGGGCCAACAGCAAGGCCAGGACUGAGCUUUCUGGGGCGGUGUUGAUGCAGGUGGACACAGCUGUCUACACGGAGUCCACCUCCCCCACUGCCAGCAUCUGUACCGGAGGGCUCGGCUCACUGGCAGUUUGUCCGCAAGGUGGUGCUCAGUCACCAUGCACAGGACAUUUUUGACCGAAAGUUCUGUUUUUGCCAUAAGUUGCACCCUGACCACACCUGCUUCUUCUGAAAGCA
rnacentral:lncRNA from 1 species